rnacentral:rRNA from 1 species
CAACUCGCCUACAUGAAGUCGGAAUCGCUAGUAAUCGCGGAUCAGCAUGCCGCGGUGAAUACGUUCCCGGGCCUUGUACACACCGCCCGUCACACCAUGAGAGUUUGUAACACCCAAAGCCGGUGGGGUAACCUAUUGGAGCCAGCCGUCUAAGGUGGGACAGAUGAUUGGGGUGAAGUCGUAACAAGGUAGC